AGCGAACGCUGGCGGCAGGCUUAACACAUGCAAGUCGAGCGGGCAUCCUUGUGGUGUCAGCGGCAGACGGGUGAGUAACGCGUGGGAACGUGCCCUUCGGUUCGGAAUAACUCAGGGAAACUUGAGCUAAUACCGGAUACGUGCGAGAGCAGAAAGGUUUAUCUGCCGAAGGAUCGGCCCGCGUCUGAUUAGCUAGUUGGUGAGGUUAUGGCUCACCAAGGCGACGUUCAGUAGCUGGUCUGAGAGGAUGAUCAGCCACACUGGGACUGAGACACGGCCCAGACUCCUACGGGAGGCAGCAGUGGGGAAUAUUGGACAAUGGGGGCAACCCUGAUCCAGCCAUGCCGCGUGAGUGAUGACGGCCUUAGGGUUGUAAAGCUCUUUUCUCCGGGACGAUAAUGACGGUACCGGAGGAAUAAGCCCCGGCUAACUUCGUG
rnacentral:rRNA from 1 species